AGGAAAAGAAACCAACAGGGAUUGCCUCAGUAGCGGCGAGUGAAGCGGCAAAAGCUCAAAUUUGAAAUCUGGCGUCUUUGGCGUCCGAGUUGUAAUUUGAAGAAGGUAUCUUUGGGCCCGGCUCUUGUCUAUGUUCCUUGGAACAGGACGUCACAGAGGGUGAGAAUCCCGUGCGAUGAGAUGACCCGGGUCUGUGUAAAGUUCCUUCGACGAGUCGAGUUGUUUGGGAAUGCAGCUCUAAGUGGGUGGUAAAUUCCAUCUAAAGCUAAAUAUUGGCGAGAGACCGAUAGCGAACAAGUACAGUGAUGGAAAGAUGAAAAGAACUUUGAAAAGAGAGUGAAAAAGUACGUGAAAUUGUUGAAAGGGAAGGGCUUGAGAUCAGACUUGGUAUUUUGCAUGCUGCUCUCUCGGGGGCGGCCGCUGCGGUUUACCGGGCCAGCAUCGGUUUGGAGCGGCAGGAUAAUGGCGGAGGAAUGUGGCACGGCUUCUGCUGUGUGUUAUAGCCUCUGACGAUGCUGCCAGCCUAGACCGAGGACUGCGGUUUUUAACCUAGGAUGUUGGCAUAAUGAUCUUAAG
rnacentral:rRNA from 1 species